rnacentral:lncRNA from 1 species
UAAAUGUAUUUAUAAAACUAUUUAAUUAUAAAUGGGUAUUAAUAAUAAAAAAUUGUUUUUUUUUAUUUGCCAUAAUUUGUGUCUCACACAAAAUUGACAAACACUACUUUGUUUGUAUGUGUAGGUACUACAAAUUGAUAGUACUAAAAGUGUGAAAUAUGUUAUGUCUCGUAAUUACAAAAUUUGCUUAUAUGUGUAAUCUUAUAAGUCUGAUUUAAUGUUGUUUGCACAUUUUCUCUGGUUUAUAUAUAUAUUACACGCGGCACAGUCAAAUUUGCAUCAGUUUGGAUUGUUGCAAGAACCAGCUCAUGACUAAGGGCCUUGUUUAGGUUCGAAACUAGUCAGGCAUACUCCGAUAUUGUAUCACUUAAGUUUUAGCUGUGCUCCAUAAUAAAUUAAUAUGAAUUGCACUCACAAUACUUUAAAUUUUAUAUAUAUUACCUAUGAAUCUGCUCUAAAUCUCUGAAUACAAGUUUAAAGUUUGGUGCUCAGUAAAACAUAAAAUUUGUAUAACAAAUUAUUAUGCAUGACAAAAUUAUUUUGUACCUGUGUAUAUAUAUGGAAAGUCUCUAAGACACGAAUUCUUAAGUAAAAUUAUUUAAAAUACUUAAUUUUAAUUUUUUUUUAAUAUUUUAUUCGCAUUUUUAUAAGCUAUUUUAAAAUUUCUGACUACAAAGCGAGUCGUUGAUUAAGCGUAGCAUUAAGAUAUGUCAUAUACCUGGGUAUUAAGAACGCUUUGAAGGUGUUUGUAUUGUAUGUAUUUUAUAAAUUAUGACAAUUAUUAAUGUGUUUGUUGGUUAAUUUAAUUUUUGGUUCGAGGGACCAUUUUGUUGUAUUAAAAUGUGAUUCAUGCCAAAUAUAUGUUUUAUUUAUGGUACAUUUUCUUUUAUUUGCUAAUCUUUGCGGCCCGUACCCGGAGGACUGACAACAUCAAGCGAGUCGCAGGGAUUCGCUGGAUGCAGGCGGCUCAGUAUCGUGAUGUUUGGAAGUCCCUACAAAAGGCCUAUGUCUUGAAGUGGACGUCUCGGCUGACAUGAUGAUUAUUAUACAGUGUAGGAAGUUAAUAACAUCUUUUUAAGUAACAAAAUAUUGUGAUAUAUAUUACUAAGAGCGUCCACGGCGCUGAACUCUUUGAGUGUGAACUUGAAUCAUAUCAGAUAAGAUAAGUAAGCUUAAUUUUCUUAUUUUAUUCUAUUUCAACAAAAAAGGUGCAUUAAUUUUACUUUUUUCGUUAUUUGGUCUGCUCCCAGCACUUGGUAGAUGACAACUUUCUCAAUACAAACAGUAGUGUGAGGGAGAUUCACUCUAAUGCUGUUCCCUCAAUAGUGCAGAUGUGCAUGAUAUGCCUGGAAACUGACAGCAAGCUAUCUCUAAUGAGCAAACACAAGUUGGAGGAGGCAUAUGAACAGCUAACUGGACUGUCUUUGUUUCAGUUGUGUCAUCGAGCAAACCUGAAGCAAACACUCUGUGUGCUGUGUGCUCAGAGAUUGAUGAACUUCAGUAGAUUUAGAGACUUGAGUUUGAGAGCCCA